rnacentral:tRNA from 1 species
GGGGGUAUAGCUUGGUGGUAGAGCAUGUUCUUAGCAUGUGUGAGGUCCUGGGUUUGAUCCCCAGUACUGCCA